GGACGAGUAAAGCGGCGAAAGGGUGAGUAACACGUAACCAACGUACCCCUCAGAUUGGAAUAACCUCUGGAAACGGUGGGUAAUGCCAAAUGGUCCGCCGGCAGGCAUCUGUCGGACGGUAAACGGUGGCUUCGGCUGCUGCUGGGGGAGCGGGUUGCGGCCUAUCAGCUUGUUGGUGGGGUAAUGGCCUACCAAGUCUACGAUC
rnacentral:rRNA from 1 species